rnacentral:misc_RNA from 1 species
AAGUCGUAACAAGGUAAACUUUCGCAAGACACUUGCAGAAGCCUUAGCGGGUCCAAAAGACCGCGUCCGCGACUAUAAAUAAUGCUGACCACGGGCUCACCGUCCGGCGCUAGUCGGUGCCCUGCGCACUGGCAACAUCGUCGAAUUGCGGGGAAUCCCUAAAGGCACAAUGGUACGAACCCAGGUUGUGAAAGCAUCUGGGGGCCUGAGUCAACUGCUCAGGGGAACGUAACAAUCCAUUGGCAUGAGAGACUUGGUCUCGAAAUGGGGUGAUCCGCAGCCAAGGACCUUAUCGCUCGAGCAUUCUUGCUGUCGAUGGUCAAGGUUCACGACUAAGUGGCGAUGGGUGCUUUGAUUAUUCAAGUGCUUAAGAUAUAGUCGGGCCCAGGAGGAGACUCCUGGGACGUAGAGAUUUCCCACAUACUCUGAAGUCAGUGUCACUUCUCUACACGCAACUGUUCCGUAGGUGAACCUGCGGAAGGAUCAUUACCGUGCCUGGGUCCCCUCGGGGGCUCGACAUACCUACCCUUUGUAGUACCAAAAUACGUUGCUUUGGCGGGACGGCCGCGAUGCAAGUCGCGUCCGCCGGGCCCCAAAUCGCCCGGAGAGCGCCCGCCAGAGGACCACAAAAACUCAGCUUUAACAGUAUCGUCAGAGUUACAUGAUAAUAAAUCAAA